rnacentral:rRNA from 1 species
CCUACGGGUGGCUGCAGUGGGGAAUAUUGCACAAUGGGCGCAAGCCUGAUGCAGCCAUGCCGCGUGUGUGAAGAAGGCCUUCGGGUUGUAAAGCACUUUCAGCGGGGAGGAAGGCGGUGAGGUUAAUAACCUCAUCGAUUGACGUCACCCGCAGAAGAAGCACCGGCUAACUCCGUGCCAGCAGCCGCGGUAAUACGGAGGGUGCAAGCGUUAAUCGGAAUUACUGGGCGUAAAGCGCACGCAGGCGGUCUGUCAAGUCGGAUGUGAAAUCCCCGGGCUCAACCUGGGAACUGCAUUCGAAACUGGCAGGCUAGAGUCUUGUAGAGGGGGGUAGAAUUCCAGGUGUAGCGGUGAAAUGCGUAGAGAUCUGGAGGAAUACCGGUGGCGAAGGCGGCCCCCUGGACAAAGACUGACGCUCAGGUGCGAAAGCGUGGGGAGCAAACAGGAUUAGAUACCCUUGUAGUC